rnacentral:rRNA from 1 species
AGAGUUUGAUCCUGGCUCAGGAUGAACGCUGGCGGCGUGCCUAAUACAUGCAAGUCGAACGCAUCGCAAGAUGAGUGGCGACCGGGUGCGUAACACGUAGCUGACCUGCCCCUCAGCGGGGGACAACUUCUGGAAACGGAAGCUAAUACCGCAUAGAUUUGAGAGGACCAAAGACUUUCAAAUAAACUUCCGGGGCUGAG